GAUGAACGCUGGCGGCGUGCCUAAUACAUGCAAGUCGAGCGAACGGACGAGAAGCUUGCUUCUCUGAUGUUAGCGGCGGACGGGUGAGUAACACGUGGAUAACCUACCUAUAAGACUGGGAUAACUUCGGGAAACCGUAGCUAAUACCGGAUAAUAGUGUGAACCGCAUGGUUCAAAAGUGAAAGACGGUCUUGCUGUCACUUAGAGAUGGAUCCGCGCUGCAUUAGCUAGUGGGUAAGGUAACGGCUUACCAAGGCAACGAUGCAUAGCCGACCUGAGAGGGUGAUCGGCCACACUGGAACUGAGACACGGUCCAGACUCCUACGGGAGGCAGCAGUAGGGAAUCUUCCGCAAUGGGCGAAAGCCUGACGGAGCAACGCCGCGUGAGUGAUGAAGGUCUUCGUAUCGUAAAGCUCUGUUAUUAGGGAAGAACAGAUGUGUAAGUAACUGUGCACAUCUUGACGGUACCUAAUCAGAAAGCCACGGCUAACUACGUG
rnacentral:rRNA from 1 species